rnacentral:rRNA from 1 species
UAGUAAGUGUGUAAGAGCGUACGGUGGAUGCCUUGGCACCAGGAGCCGAUGAAGGACGUAGGAGGCUGCGAUAAGCCUCGGGGA